rnacentral:lncRNA from 1 species
AUGAGACGAGGGAUCAAAGACCAAAGAUAUGAAGUUCCAAUGGUGGAGAAUCGAGUGGAGCACAGAAGUGGGGCUGCAGAGCUGCCCAGAUCCCAGGAAAAACUACACAUGCUGAGCUUGAGGCCCAGAGAGAGCAGCACCUCGUCUGUCAUCAAGAUUCUCUGUCAGGUGCUUGCAAGAUAAAAGUAGGACCCUCACCCACACGAGCAAGAACAGAAGGGAGAAGAUGGCACUUCUACGUAUGCAUCUGGAGGUCUGUGUCUAUUUCCCCCAUACAAAAAAAGUCUCCCUUCAAGGAUCCCCUGCUGUGCCAUUCUCUCCUGACACCUUUGAAGGGAGCCAG